UCCAUUUCAAAACUAUAGACGCGUACCUAGGCAAAAACCGUUAUGCCAGCAUCUAUACCACAUAAAAUCUGUGAUCACUUUGUGCAGAAAUUUUUCCAAAUUGGGCGUCUGUUAUCCAAUCCUUUAGAAACUAUAUGAGAGUAAUUGUGGAGCGGUUCUGAGCAAUAUUCCGAAAACUAUUCUCAAAAAGUUCCAGCCAAAUUUGAAAUAUUUCAAAAACCCUACGCGUCUAUAGUUUUGAAAUGCACUGUAGGGAAGCAAAAGAUCAUUGAGCUUCAAUUCAUUUGGAAAUCGCCAUCACUUUCUUUGCCUACUAAAUUUCGUUUUGUUAGGUCUAUUGUGCUAGCAACUGUUUUAUACGGAUGCCAAUCUUGGACAUUAUCUGCCUCAUCAAUGAGAAGAAUUUCAUCCUUCGAGAUGAAAUGCUUCCGCCCACUCUUAGGAGUAACAUACCACGACCGGCGUACCAACCAAUCUAUCCUGGAAGAAAUCAAUGACAUCAUCGGAGCAAGGAUGCGGCUA